CCUACGUGAGGCAGCAGUGGGGAAUAUUGCACAAUGGGGGAAACCCUGAUGCAGCGACGCCGCGUGAGUGAAGAAGUAUUUCGGUAUGUAAAGCUCUAUCAGCAGGGAAGAAAUAAAGUCCUUCGGACUUUGGACGGUACCUGACUAAGAAGCCCCGGCUAACUACGUGCCAGCAGCCGCGGUAAUACGUAGGGGGCAAGCGUUGUCCGGAAUGACUGGGCGUAAGGGGAGUGUAGGCGGCUCAUCAAGUUAGAUGUGAAAUCCCGCGGCUUAACCGCGGAACUGCAGCUAAAACUGGUAAGCUGGAGUGCAGGAGAGGUGAGUGGAAUUCCUAGUGUAGCGGUGGAAUGCGUAGAUAUUAGGAGGAACACCAGAGGCGAAGGCGACUCACUGGACUGUAACUGACGCUGAGGCUCGAAAGCGUGGGGAGCAAACAGGAUUAGAUACCCCGGUAGUC
rnacentral:rRNA from 1 species